CAACAUAUGAGGCUACAUUUCAUUUGGAUACUAAUCCUUGGGAGGAACAAGACAUCAAAAACGUACAGCAACCUCCCUAGAUUCAUCAAGCAAUGUAUAGCACAAAUUCAUACGUAUUGCAAAAACGUUUUCGGCCCUUUAAGGAAAACAAUAUUCCAUUCUUGUUCAAGAAUUAGUAGGAGCAAGAGUUGUUCUUGGAGAGCUCAAGUAAAUGUUGUUGAUGAAUAUAUCAAGUGAGGUAUGAUGUCCUCUCCUACAGUUGCAAGAUUAAAUCAGCAACGUGAAUUCUUUUGGCAAGCAUCAACGUGUUUUAUUCUAUUUUAGGCGGAUUGGAGGUUUCUUCGAACUGAAGAAAGGUGGAAGAAGAGUAGUUAACGGAAUAUGAGGCUAAAAGAGCGACGAGACGAACGAGUUACGAAUAGCCGCUAACAGGUACAGACGCACAGUUUGGUGAUCCACCAGUUUAGGACACCCUCUUCUGCUGUUUGGAGUGCUCCUCUUAUUCCGGAGCCUACAUUUUGGUAUAUAUAGUUGUUUGAUGCAUAUGUAUAUAUUUGUUCAGGGGUACGGCGGGGCCCUGUUCCGCCAUAUGAUCCGUUUGGUCUGUUUAGAGGUCUGUAGACGUAUUUGUGGGUGUGUGUGCCUACUUCUGUACAGAUGUGUUUGUAUGACCCUGUUCGUUAUGGCAGCCUUGUCGGCGUGCACUUUGUAUAUGUUUUGGGCCGUUGCGCCAUCUGUUAGCCUUGCCGGCUUUUUGAUAUAAGUAUAUGUAUAUGUUUGCGCUGAAAUGUGUCCGAUACAGUUUGACAUAGUUUGAGACGGCAUAUAGUGUUUAUGGCCGUAUAUGCUAUUUGGAUGUGAUCAGAUAUGGAUAGGUAUGUCAGGGUGCCCAAGUAGGGCGCCAGUCACGGCCUACGGGGUUGGGUCGUGACAAUUAAAUUGUUUAUUGCAAGUUCACAUACAUGUAAAGGGUAAUUGUAGACUGAGCUGAAGAUUUAGUUGUGUACACCGUUAUAUGCUUAUUGGAUUUUCAC